CCCAGACAGCCAGGAUGUUGGCUUAGAAGCAGCCAUCAUUUAAAGAAAGCGUAAUAGCUCACUGGUCGAGUCGGCCUGCGCGGAAGAUGUAACGGGGCUAAACCAUGCACCGAAGCUGCGGCAGCGAACGUAUCACUUAAAGCGAUUCAGCGGGUUACGAUUGACGGAGCGAAGCGACGUCAAAGCGUAUACAAAGUCGAGUCGGUUUAAGGAUACGUUCGUUGGGUAGGGGAGCGUUCUGUAAGCCUGUGAAGGUGGCCUGUGAGGGUUGCUGGAGGUAUCAGAAGUGCGAAUGCUGACAUAAGUAACGAUAAAGCGGGUGAAAAGCCCGCUCGCCGGAAGACCAAGGGUUCCUGUCCAACGUUAAUCGGGGCAGGGUGAGUCGACCCCUAAGGCGAGGCCGAAAGGCGUAGUCGAUGGGAAACGGGUUAAUAUUCCCGUACUUGGUGUUACUGCGAAGGGGGGACGGAGAAGGCUAUGUUGGCCGGGCGACGGUUGUCCCGGUUUAAGCGUGUAGGUGUGUGUUCCAGGUAAAUCCGGUUCACUUUAACACUGAGGCGUGACGACGAGGCACUACGGUGCUGAAGCAACAAAUGCCCUGCUUCCAGGAAAAGCCUCUAAGCAUCAGGUAACAUCAAAUCGUACCCCAAACCGACACAGGUGGUCAGGUAGAGAAUACCAAGGCGCUUGAGAGAACUCGGGUGAAGGAACUAGGCAAAAUGGUGCCGUAACUUCGGGAGAAGGCACGCUGACA
rnacentral:rRNA from 1 species